UCAGGGGUAAAUAUGCACGGCGCGGUUGGGCAAGGAGAGGUGGGGGAGCCGAUAGCCGUCUGCAGAUGUUUGGGGAAGGUAAUCCCCCGGCCGGGGGCGGGGUUUGCUCAGAGCGAAAAAGCAUAAUGAAGAGCAAUGGGAUUAAACGAGUGAGAGGGACGCGUUUAGUGAGAUUACGGGGCGGCAGACCCCCAGACCCUCCCUGUCGCUGGAUCAGUAAACAGAUCAUUCGGUUCGCUGGCUGCAAGGAGCGCAGCAGGCACGGGACAGCAGCUCCUGCCUCUGCACCGAGCGGGAGGCUCCUCUGCUCCGAGCGCAGACGCCUCUGCUCAGCCCGGGCGGGGCCCCUUAGCCCUGUGACUUAAGAACCGAGCCUUUGCCCUCUGGAGGAGCAGGGGAGCCAGGCAGCACGCUCGGCACUGGCCGGGUGGCUGCCAUCGCACGGACGGCAGGUAGGUGGUCACCAGUACCACAGCCUGGGGCAGACUUCCGGCGUGCCUGAUAUGUUGCUGCAUUCCAAUCCCGUAUUCCGAUCAGCCCAGAGAUUUUACAGCCUUUAAAGUCUUUAGUGAGUUUCUUCAAAGAUGAAAUGCGCUGCUGCGAACACGCCUAUGCCAGCUCUGAAUUGGAGCUGGAGUCGUGUCGCUUUGAAGCCGUGAGCGCCUCGUGUCCUGAGGGCUGCGGGGCUGAGCUGGGCAGGGUCUAAAAGCACGCUGUCAGCUCCAGCUCCUCAUUCAGCAGUGCCCGGCAGCAGCCAGGACACCCAGUAAUGUGUGCUCACUUCUGAAGGAAGAUUGUACCCUGAUCCCUGGGCUCGGGCUCACCCUGCAGCACACAGUGCUCUUGUUUAAAUGUAAGUAUUGUGGCGGGUGAGUCCGUCCUGCUGCUUCCUGGGAAGAAAGAUGGGUUACUAACAUGGCUAAAUUUGCCCUUUUACAGUAAUUGGGUGUAAUAACAUCUUAUGCAUCCCCUUUCAUCCUACAGUGCUGUUGAUGCCUUCUCCAGACAAAACGCCCAAACAAGGCAGCUACCACCGGAACAGAGCAAGACAACUUGUUUAUCAGACAGAGGAAUGCUCCUCAGCAGCACGGGGCAGGAGGAAGAGGGAGCUGCCGUCUGCAGGCCCAGCGUGGGCAGUUCAGAGAUGGUCUGCAUUGUUCUACAUCAGGAUAACAAGGCACUUCCGCAGCCCCUUUCCUGUGGGAAUCCCAACAGGUUGUUGUCCUCCCCCUGCAGGAAGGGAAGCGUGGCACCAGGGGGCUGAAACAUCCCAUCUGUCAGAUGUCUGCACUAAGCAGUAUGUUCUUCUCUUCACCUUUGGUGCUUUUCCUAGUCUUGGGUGCCAGCCUUCACCUCUUCAGCUUUCCCUUCCAUGGUAGAUGCAAGCAACAUGCAAGAUACCUCCUAAGAAUAGAGAAAUGAGACAGCUCAACGCUGCAAUUUAGUAACAGAAGUAAAAGGGGACGUUAGUGCAAAACAAUUGCAGCUCUGAUUAAGACCCAAGAUAGGAAUUUCCCUUCUCUGUAAGAAAUCAGCUCAGAAUCUGCUGAUUGGGAGUCUCGAGAAAGGAUAUGACUAGCUCAGCCGCAGGGUCUCUCUUCCUAUAAAAUGUGGAGCAAACCAGGAUAACCAACUUGCACUUAGACUGUGUCAGACAGGCUGACCUCGCCUUGCUUCUACAGUGAGACCUACAGGGAGAUGAACCUUGCCAGACUGAUUCACGGAGCCCUUCCAGGUCUGCGCACAGCUAUCCACUGGGACAAGCACAGGAGAAGGCAAAGCAAGGGCCAGGCUGGGGCACAACACCGUGCUUUUUAGGACCCUGUUUCUGCAGGUCUCUAUCCACAGAGAAUGAGGUUUGAGAAGGAAGGAAGGUGCAGGUGCAUGCUGGGACCUCAUCCUAGUCUGGUUUUGGGCACAAAUGGAGUGACUGCUGCCAGUGGUGAAGGUCACUUCUGCACAGAUACAGCCCCAGCCAGCAAUUUCUGAGCACCUAAAGGAGAGAACCACGCUCUCGCAGUUUGCUGGCAAGAUGCAGCCAGCAAAUUCUGGCAGUGAAUGUGGAUGCUGCUAUAGAAAGAGAGGAUCCUGUCAAUGGGACAAAAGGGUGUUGGUGCUUUUUUCCAGUGCGGGUUAUUUGGCUUUGAGUACGAGUAAGAAUUGCACUAAUAAAAUGCCUCUUUUGUGUGCAGACUCUAUCUACAGUGGAAGUGUUGCUGGUAUCACCAGAUCCAGUAUCUAUCACCAGUAUCAGUAACUUUUCAAGGGCAGACGAGGCCAUGGUAGGAGGAGGGGCGGGGGAGGCAGCACUAGGGGCUGCUGGGGCUGAGGAGAGGACUUCUGCAUGACAGGGAUCAGUGUUGCCCCUGCAAAACACCUCAAAGCAAAUGGCCUGCCACCUGGGCCAGGUCCAGGGCUUUGUGUUGCUAGUUCUGUGGGUCUAUCAGGACAGAGAAUCCUUCUGACACACAGGGAACGAGUGCAACUAAAGAGGCCUGCAUCAGCUUUUCCACCACCCAGACCACUCACGUACUCUCCUUUGUUUCCAGGAAAUGUGAUUUCCACUCUUUCCCAGAGCUGCUGCUGAGCUCCCUGUCUCAGCCACUGUCACAAGACACACAGCAGUCUGUAAGAUCGCUGUGGUCUGAACGGGGGCUGCCUGUUCAAAACAUUGGCUUCCCAUCUCCCACAGCGGGCCCAAGAGGCAGAGGGCUGUUUGUGCCACGCUCUGUAUGAAAAGCACUUUCUGUGGGCUGGAACAGAUCACACGCCUGAUCCUUGUCAGCUCAUGAGCUCCCGCAGAGCCUUCAAAGCUGUCUGCCAGCCAGCAGAAUGCCAGGAUGCAUUCUUACUUUUCACUUUGAGUGUGUCCAAGGACUGGGACAGAUCCAGAUCACUUGCCCUUUUAUCACUCCUGCUCCUGGGAUGGCCUCAGGAGAGGGAAGAGUGCUCCGCACUGAGUGACAGAAAGGGAAGAGCCCAGCUUUGCCUUGGCCACCGCCCAGAUGAGCAAGCACCGCAGCACCACCAGCUUGUUCCUCCAGCAAAGGAGACAGGUGAUAUCAAGUCCUGCCUCUGAGUCAGCAAGAAGCAUGCAGUGAAGAUACAGCCUUCUCCUGUAACUGGGAUUUUGCCUCACCUGCUGAUCAGCUGCCUGGUCACAAGAGGAAGUGCUCUGAUAUCAGCGUCUUGGAAUUUUUUAAUUUAGCUUUGUCCUGGCUCCGUGGCUUUCCUUUGACUUCUGUGCCCCGGUCGGCUCAGCCAGCUGAAAAGCACUUUCCACAGCUGAUGUCCUCCCACUUGCAGGCUCUCUCUGCUUACACCUUAGGCUUGCCUGCUGAGGAGUCUCUUUCUCACUGCCACAGCUCUAGCAUGGUCCAGGCACAGUACAAAGCAUCGCAGAGCAGCAUGGAAGGCUAAGAGCAUAUUCUAAAACUCAUAUAGGCCUCUAAAUCAACAACCGUAUCCAUCUGUCCCCAGUGAAUUCAAGCUUUUCAAGUUACAGUUUCAAUUACUAUAAUUUCAAAAGAUUGCAGUGGGCAGAGGAGUACAGUUCUCUUUUUUCUAUUUUUAUGAGCAUAUGAUAGCACUCUGAUAUGAAAUUACGUGUUUUACUGUUUCCCUUGGUAUGUACAGCUGGACACAAAGCCACCCGAGGUCAGUGGAAAGACUGCCACCAACCUCAGAGCCUGUGGCUUAGACCCAUAAUUACUUUCUUUUAUGGUUUGUUCCAGUUCUGCACCCUUACAUGUCGAAACACAGGAAAACCCAUCUGUAAAGCCACAGGGGAUGAUACCACGUUUAACUAGUUGCAGAAAGCUUUGUAGGUUUAAAAUCUACAGCAUCAUUUUGAUUCUUGCUCUUCUGCAGCCCUUGAAACUUCCACCCACUUUGGUUGUUUGUGAGGACAGGCAGUAUCUCCAGGCUAUGGGCUAGGAUCAUUACAGCUCUUGGUAGCGUGUGUGUGUGUUGAUUGACGCAGAUGUUUUUACAAUGGAUGCUUUAUAAAACAGCAAAAAGCAUUUCCAAUUCUCUAAGCAGACAGCAUCGUUUGCACGAAGGCCACUUUCCAAAACACCCAUCCUCAAUCCUCCCCUUUCAGCCCAGUGUUUAUCUGUACGCCUGUCUCCCCCGGAGGCAUCAGCAGGCCGUGCCAGUGCUGUUUCUCACACACACACCCAAAACAAGGCCAGGAGCCGAUGGACUCAAGUGUCACCACGACAGUGGCAGCUUCUUUGCAGCCAGCACACAUCCUGCUCGCUGACCUGUUGCUUGUGUACCCAAACCCCGCUCUUCCUGGGGAGGCAGGACGGGCUAACUCAGGUAACCAACACCAGUGUGGGAGCGGUACAAGGUGCCACAUCGCAGUGGUAGCUUUAAGAUGGCGCAGUCUGGGACGGGCACUUUCCCUGUGUCCAGUCUUCACACCUCGGAAUCUCCAAACCCGUCCCUUCAGCCCCAGCUCGCUCGGAAUACAGCCCACCACAGCCCAGCCCCCGCCAUUUCCCCCACUCACCCUCAGCGGCCACCAGCACCUCCUGCGCGACCUUCCCGCCUAAUUUCCCGCCGCGCUGCGAUUGGUCAGGAUUGGCCAAUAGCGGAGAUGUUGCUGGGCAGAACACGGAGGAGGGAAGCGUCAA